rnacentral:lncRNA from 1 species
ACAAUAUAAUUAGGUUUUACACUUUGUUCAAUAGAAUGAGAAAAAGUACUCGUCGCAAAGUUAUACUGUUGGGGCGCAACUAAGUAGUCUAAUGUUGUUCCGGUUUUGGUUCUUGUGAACGUUGACAUCGAUUCGUUCCAAAUUUACACUCUCGGGGCAAAAUAGGACAAUAUAAUUAAGUUUUACGCUUUGUUCGAUCGAAUGAGAAAAUGUACGCGUUGCAAAUUUAUACUGUUAGGGCGCAGCUGGGUAGUCUAAUGUUGUUCCGGUUUCGGUUCAUGUGAAGGUUGACAUCGAUUCGUUCCAAAUGUACACUCUUGGGGCAUAAUAGAACAAUAUAAUUAGCUUUUACACUUUGUUCAAUCGAAUGGAAAAAAAUACUCGUUGCAAAGUUAUACUGUUAGGGCGCAGCUUAGUAGUCUAAUGUUGUUCCGGUUUUGGUUCUUGUGAAGGUUGACAUCGAUUCGUUCUAAAUUUACACUCGCGGGGCAUAAUAGAACAAUAUAAUUAGCUUUUACACUUUGUUCGGUCGAAUGGGAAAAAGUACUCGUUGCAAAGUUAUACUGUUAGGGCGGAACUGAGUAGACUAUUGUUGUUCCGGUUUUGGUUCUUGUGAAGGUUGACAUCGAUUCGUUCCAAAUUUACACUCUUGGGGCAUAAUAGAACAAUAUAAUUAGUUUUUACACUUUGUUCGAUUGAUUAAGAAAAAGUACUAGUUGCAAAGUUAUACUGUUGGGGCGCAACAGAGUAGUCUAUUGUUGUUCCGGUUUUGAUUCUUGCUAAGGUUGACAUCGAUUCGUUCCAAAUUUACACUCUCGGGGCAUAAUAGAACAAUAUAAUUUGGUUUUACUCUUUGUUCGAUAGAAUAAGAAAAAGUAGUCAUUGCAAUGUUAUACUGUUAGGGCGCCACUGAAUAGUCUAAUAUUGUUCCGGUUUUGGUUCUUGUGAACGUUGACAUCGAUUCGUUCGAAAUUACAACUCUCGGGGCAUAAUUGAACAAUAUAAUUAGGUUUUACUCUUUGUUCGAUAGAAUGAGAAAAAGUACUCGUCGCAAAGUUAUACUGCUAGGGCGCAACUGAGUAGUCUAAUGUUGUUCCGAUUUUGGUUCUUGUGAACGUUGACAUCGAUUCGUUCCAAAUUUACACUCUCGGGGCACAAUUGAACAAUAUAAUUAGGUUUUACUCUUUGUUCGAUAAAAAGAGAAAAAGUACUCGUUGCAAAGUUAUACUGUUAGGGCGCAACAGAGUAGUCUAAUGUUGUUCCGGUUUUCGUUCUUGUGAACGGUGACAUCGAUUCGUUCCAAAUUUACACUCUCGGGNCUGGGAACUUGUUGUACACAAUCUCGUCGUUGUGCCUUGGGCGGACAGGGGAGGUACUGUCCGUACGGCGGUCCGCCGCCGUGCCCGAACCGAACCAAAUUGGUAUCGGCCUCGGGGCGGGGGCGUGACAGAAAAAUUACUAGUUGCAAAGUUAUACUGUUGGGGCGCAACAGAGUAGUCUAUUGUUGUUCCGGUUUUGGUUAUUGUUAAGGUUGACAUCGAUUCGUUUCAAAUUUACACUCUCGAGGCAUAAUAGAACAAUAUAAUUAGGUUUUACUCUUUGUUCGAUAGAAUGAGAAAAAGUACUCAUUGCAAAGUUAUACUGUUAGGGCGCAACCGAAUAGUCUAAUGUUGUUCCGGUUUUGGUUCUUGUGAACGCUGACAUCAAUUGGUUCGAAAUUACAACUCUCGGGGCAUAAUUGAACAAUAUAAAUUAGGUUUUACUCUUUGUUCGAUAGAAUGAGAAAAAGAACUCGUCGCAAAGUUAUACUGCUAGGGGGCAACUGAGUAGUCUAAUAUUGUUCCGGUUUUGGUUCUUGUGAACGUUGACAUCGAUUCGUUCCAAAUUUACACUCUCGGGGCAUAAUAGAACAAUACAAUUAAGUUUUACUCUUUGUUCGAUCGAAUGAGAAAAAGUACUCGUUGCAAAUUUAUAAUAUUAGGGCGCAGCUGAGUAGUCUAAUGUUGUUCCGGUUUUGGUUCUUGUGAAGGUUGACAUCGAUUCGUUCCAAAUUUACACUCUUGGGGCAUAAUAGAACAAUAUAAUUAGCUUUUACACUUUGUUCGAUCGAAUGGGAAAAAAGUACUCGUUACAAAGUUAUACUGUUAGGGCGCAACUGAGUAGUCUAUUGUUAUUCCAGUUUUGGUUCUUGUGAAGGUUGACAUCGAUUCGUUCCAAAUUUACACUCUCGGGGCAUAAUAGAACAAUAAAAUUAGCUUUUACACUUUGUUCGAUUGAAUAAGAAAAAGUACUAGUUGCAAAGUUAUAUUGUUGGGGUGCAACAGAGUAGUCUAUUGUUUUUCCGAUUUUGGUUCUGGUGAAGGUUGAUAUCGAUUCGUUCCAAAUUUACACUCUCGGGGCAUAAUGAAUAAAAUAAAUAGCUUUUACACUUUGUUCGAUUGAAUGAGAAAAAGUACUAGUUGCAAAGUUAUACUGUUGGGGCGCAACAGAGUAGUUUACUGUUGUUCCGAUUUUGGUUCUUGUUAAGGUUGACAUCGAUUCAUUCCAAAUUUACACUCUCGGGGCAUAAUAGAACAAUACAAUUAAGUUUUACUCUUUGUUCGAUCGAAUGAGAAAAAGUACUCGUUGCAAAAUUAUGCUGUUAGGGCGCAACUGAGUAGUCUAGUGUUGUUCCGAUUUUGGUUCUUGUGAAGAUUGACAUCGAUUCGUUCCAAAUUUACACUCUCGGGGCAUAAUAGAACAAUAUAAUUAGCUUUUACACUUUGUUCGAUUGAAUGAGAAAAAGUACUAGUUGCAAAGUUAUACUGUUGGGGCGCAACAGAGUAGUCUAUUGUUGUUCCGGUUUUGGUUCUUGUUAAGGUUGACAUCGAUUCGUUCCAAAUUUACACUCUCGGGGCAUAAUAGAACAAUAUAAUUAGGUUUUACUCUUUGUUCGAUCGAAUGAGAAAAAGUACUCGUUGCAAAGUUAUACUGUUAGGGCGCAACUGAGUAGUCUAAUGUUGUUCCGGUUUUGGUUCUUGUGAACGUUGACAUCGAUUCGUUCGAAUUUACACUCUCGCGGCAUAAUAGAACAAUAUAAUUAGGUUUUACACUUUGUUCGAUAGAAUGAGAAAAAGUACUCGUUGCAAAGUUAUACUGUUAGGGCGCAACUGAGUAGUCUAAUGUUGUUCCGGUUUUGGUUCUUGUGAACGUUGACAUCGAUUCGUUCCAAAUUUACACUCUCGGGGCAUAAUAGAACAAUAUAAUUAGGUUUUACGCUUUGUUCGAUUGAAUGAGAAAAAGUACUCGUUGCAAAGUUAUACUGUUAGGGCGCAACUGAGUAGUCUAAUGUUGUUCCGGUUUUGGUUCUUGUGAACGUUGACAUCGAUUCGUUCCAAAUUUACACUCUCGGGGCAUAAUAGAACAAUAUAAUUAGNNN